AACAGACUUAAAUAGUUAAAUGAGCAUUGAUCUGAGAGAUACAAACGAAAGUUAGGGUUUCAAAGGAAACCCAAAUAGAAACUAGAACCUGUUAUAUCUUCAAAGAUCAUAACAAAGAUGGUGUGAUUUUGCCCAAAAUCAUACCGGAGAAGCCAUGAACAACCAAAAUAGAAACCCUAUAUACAAAACGACAUGGCCCAGGGCCCUUGAAGGCCUCAGAGAUAUAAUCAAGGUGAUGGAGGAACCAUUGGAGGCUUGGGGUUGAAAGGUGGUCGCCGGAGAUGAUCGGAGAAGGAGGCGGUGAUUGAAGGGGAUUAGGGUUUGGCUGAGAGAGAAGAGAGAGACGACGGCAUCUGAAGUCG
rnacentral:lncRNA from 1 species